rnacentral:tRNA from 1 species
GCUUCCGAGGUGCGAGACAGGAUUUAGGUUCCAGCGCCGCAAGGCGUGAGAGUUCGAGUCUCUCCGUCAGCACCA